UGGACCCUUCACACACACGCACACACACAAUAUAUAUAUAUGGCAAGCUAGAAACUUCGGUGAAAACGUGAAUAUGUAUAUUAUAGGAAGUUGGAUCCUUCUAGACUAAGCAAACCCCUCUCUCUAUAAUCCCCUAUAAAUUAGAACACACCCUUCAACAGCUUUUACAAGUUUCCACUGCACCGAGCCAGCUGCUGUGGCCUUCUUACAUAUACAUAUUUUGGUCUCUCACUUGCGUAGUAGCUUACUGUGGUCGUGCGCCGGCCGCGUUUUUGGUGGUGGUGCUGGUGCUGGGUAGGGAGAGGUAGCUGGUAAUGGGACCUGGAGGACCUGGAGGAGGACCGCCUGGGCCGGGCUGGGGUCCUCCCGGGCCGGGCCCCUUUCCCGGGCCGGGCUUUUUCGGUGGCUUUUGCAAUGCUAUCUCUGCUUGUAUGAGUUUCUUGUGCUGCUGCUGGUUGCUGCAAGACUGCUUUGGCGGGCCAUUCGGGCCACCUGGGCCUCCUGGGCCGCCCGGCCCAAUGGGCCCUCCUCCACCUUGAAGAGAUUAUUAAUUUAUUAUGUGUUCUACACUCUCUCUGGGUUUAUUUACUUUCCAUCUUCAUUCGAGUAAUAGAAUGUUACAGCUACUGUGCUAAAGUAAGACUUGACACUAUUAUUUACUCUGUUUA